AGUGAACGCUGGCGGUAGGCCUAACACAUGCAAGUCGAACGGCAGCACAGUAAGAGCUUGCUCUUACGGGUGGCGAGUGGCGGACGGGUGAGGAAUACAUCGGAAACUACUUUUUCGUGGGGGAUAACGUAGGGAAACUUACGCUAAUACCGCAUACGACCUACGGGUGAAAGCAGGGGAUCUUCGGACCUUGCGCGAUUGAAUGAGCCGAUGUCGGACUAGCUAGUUGGCGGGGUAAAGGCCCACCAAGGCGACGAUCCGUAGCUGGUCUGAGAGGAUGAUCAGCCACACUGGAACUGAGACACGGUCCAGACUCCUACGGGAGGCAGCAGUGGGGAAUAUUGGACAAUGGGCGCAAGCCUGAUCCAGCCAUACCGCGUGGGUGAAGAAGGCCUUCGGGUUGUAAAGCCCUUUUGUUGGGAAAGAAAAGCAGCAGGUUAAUACCCCGCUGUUCUGACGGUACCCAAAGAAUAAGCACCGGCUAACUUCGUG
rnacentral:rRNA from 1 species